rnacentral:rRNA from 1 species
AGUGAACGCUGGCGGUAGGCCUAACACAUGCAAGUCGAACGGCAGCACAGGAGAGCUUGCUCUCUGGGUGGCGAGUGGCGGACGGGUGAGGAAUACAUCGGAAUCUACUUUUUCGUGGGGGAUAACGUAGGGAAACUUACGCUAAUACCGCAUACGACCUACGGGUGAAAGCAGGGGACCUUCGGGCCUUGCGCGAUUGAAUGAGCCGAUGUCGGAUUAGCUAGUUGGCGGGGUAAAGGCCCACCAAGGCGACGAUCCGUAGCUGGUCUGAGGAGAUGAGCAGCCACACUGGAACUGAGACACGGUCCAGACUCCUACGGGAGGCAGCAGUGGGGAAUAUUGGACAAUGGGCGCAAGCCUGAUCCAGCCAUACCGCGUGGGUGAAGAAGGCCUUCGGGUUGUAAAGCCCUUUUGUUGGGAAAGAAAUCCAGCUGGCUAAUACCCGGUUGGGAUGACGGUACCCAAAGAAUAAGCACCGGCUAACUUCGUGCCAGCCGCCGCAGUAA